GAUGAACGCUGGCGGCGUGCCUAAUACAUGCAAGUCGAGCGAACGGACGAGAAGCUUGCUUUUCUGAUGUUAGCGGCGGGCGGGUGAGUAACACGUGGAUAACCUACCUAUAAGACUGGGAUAACUUCGGGAAACCGGAGCUAAUACCGGAUAAUAUUUUGAACCGCAUGGUUCAUAAGUGAAAGACGGUCUUGCUGUCACUUAUAGAUGGAUCCGCGCUGCAUUAGCUAGUUGGUAAGGUAACGGCUUACCAAGGCAACGAUGCAUAGCCGACCUGAGAGGGUGAGCGGCCACACUGGAACUGAGACACGGUCCACCACCCUACGGGGGGCAGCAGUGGGGAAUCUUCCGCAAGGGGGGAAACCCUGACGGGACAACCCCGGGGGAGGGAUGAAGGUUUUGGGAUCGUAAAACUCUGUUUUUAGGAAAAAAAAAUUGUUGAAGUAACUGUCAACAUCUUGCCGGUACCAAAACAAAAAGCCCCGGCUAACUACGU
rnacentral:rRNA from 1 species